UCGUAGGUCAAUGGCAGAGUAUCUGCUUUGCAGGCAGAAGGUCCCAAGUUCAAUCACUGGCAUCUCAA